rnacentral:rRNA from 1 species
UACAACUCCAAACCCGUGUAAACGUACCACAUUGUUGCCUCGGCCGGCUGUGCCUACCCCGUAGCCACUUACCCUGUAGCCACCUACCCCGUAGGAGUUACCCUGUAAGGACCUACUCUGUAGGCAUGUCCAGGGCCGGCCGAAGGCUCCCGAACCCUAGUUAAUAUACGUGACUUCUGAAAACGCAACUUAAUAAGUUAAAACUUUCAACAACGGAUCUCUUGGUUCUGGCAUCGAUGAAGAACGCAGCGAAAUGCGAUAAGUAAUGUGAAUUGCAGAAUUCAGUGAAUCAUCGAAUCUUUGAACGCACAUUGCGCCCAUUAGUAUUCUAGUGGGCAUGCCUGUUCGAGCGUCAUUUCGACCCUUAAGCCCUGUUGCUUAGUGUUGGGAGCCUACCUACCCUGUAGCUCCUCAAAGUUAGUGGCGGAGUCGGGUUACACUCUAAGCGUAGUAAUAUUUUCUCGCUUGUGUAGUUGUCCUGGUUCCUGCCGUAAAACACCUAUAUUUAUCUAGGUUGACCUCG